rnacentral:rRNA from 1 species
AUACGUAGGUGGCAAGCGUUGUCCGGAAUUAUUGGGCGUAAAGCGCGCGCAGGUAGUUCCUUAAGUCUGAUGUGAAAGCCCCCGGCUCAACCGGGGAGGGUCAUUGGAAACUGGGGAACUUGAGUGCAGAAGAGGAUAGUGGAAUUCCAAGUGUAGCGGUUAAAUGCGUAGAGAUUUGGAGGAACACCAGUGGCGAAGGCGACUGUCUGGUCUGUAACUGACACUGAGGCGCGAAAGCGUGGGGAGCAAACAGGAUUAGAUACCCUGGUAGUCCACGCCGUAAACGAUGAGUGCUAAGUGUUGGGGGGUUUCCGCCCCUCAGUGCUGCAGCUAACGCAUUAAGCACUCCGCCUGGGGAGUACGGUCGCAAGACUGAAACUCAAAUGAAUUGACGGGG